GCUACGGUGGUCCGAGAGGUUAGGCGCGGGACUGCAAAUCUCUGCUGGUGGCGACACCUAUGAGGGUUCGAGUCCCUCCCGUAGCUCCA
rnacentral:tRNA from 1 species